GGACCCGCACAAGCAGUGGAGCAUGUGGUUUAAUUCGAUGAUACGCGAGGAACCUUACCAGGGCUUAAAUGUAACGGGACAGAUCUAGAGAUAGAUCCUUCUUCGGACUCAUUACAAGGUGCUGCAUGGUUGUCGUCAGCUCGUGCCGUGAGGUGUCAGGUUAAGUCCUAUAACGAGCGCAACCCCCAUCGUUAGUUGCCAACGAGUAAUGUCGGGAACUCUAACGAAACUGCCGGUGCAAACCGUGAGGAAGGUGGGGGAUGACGUCAAAUCAUCACGGCCCUUACGUCCUGGGCUACACACGUGCUACAAUGGUCGGUACAGAGAGCAGCCCACUACGCGAGAUAG
rnacentral:rRNA from 1 species